CCUACGGGAGGCAGCAGUGGGGAAUAUUGCACAAUGGGGGAAACCCUGAUGCAGCGACGCCGCGUGAGUGAGGAAGUAUUUCGGUAUGUAAAGCUCUAUCAGCAGGGAAGAAAAUGACGGUACCUGACUAAGAAGCACCGGCUAACUACGUGCCAGCAGCCGCGGUAAUACGUAGGGGGCAAGCGUUAUCCGGAUUCACUGGGUGUAAAGGGAGCGUAGACGGGUAAUCAAGUCAGAUGUGAAAACCCAGGGCUCAACCAUGGGACUGCGUUUGAAACUGAGUAGCUAGAGUGCGGGAGAGGUAGGCGGAAUUCCUAGUGUAGGGGUGAAAUGCGUAGAUAUUAGGAGGAACACUAGUGGCGAAGGCGGCUUGCUGGACUGUAACUGACGUUGAGGCUCGAAAGCGUGGGGAGCAAACAGGAUUAGAUACCCUUGUAGUC
rnacentral:rRNA from 1 species